UGAAAAAUUAGCGGAUGACUUGUGGCUGGGGGUGAAAGGCCAAUCAAACCGGGAGAUAGCUGGUUCUCCCCGAAAGCUAUUUAGGUAGCGCCUCGUGAACUCAUCUUCGGGGGUAGAGCACUGUUUCGGCUAGGGGGCCAUCCCGGCUUACCAAACCGAUGCAAACUCCGAAUACCGAAGAAUGUUAUCACGGGAGACACACGGCGGGUGCUAACGUCCGUCGUGAAGAGGGAAACAACCCAGACCGCCAGCUAAGGUCCCAAAGUCAUGGUUAAGUGGGAAACGAUGUGGGAAGGCACAGACAGCCAGGAUGUUGGCUUAGAAGCAGCCAUCAUUUAAAGAAAGCGUAAUAGCUCACUGGUCGAGUCGGCCUGCGCGGAAGAUGUAACGGGGCUAAACCAUGCACCGAAGCUGCGGCAGCGACACUUAGGUGUUGUUGGGUAGGGGAGCGUUCUGUAAGCCGUUGAAGGUGACCUGUGAGGGUUGCUGGAGGUAUCAGAAGUGCGAAUGCUGACAUAAGUAACGAUAAUGCGGGUGAAAAACCCGCACGCCGGAAGACCAAGGGUUCCUGUCCAACGUUAAUCGGGGCAGGGUGAGUCGACCCCUAAGGCGAGGCUGAAAAGCGUAGUCGAUGGGAAACAGGUUAAUAUUCCUGUACUUGGUGUUACUGCGAAGGGGGGACGGAGAAGGCUAGGCUGGCCGGGCGACGGUUGUCCCGGUUUAAGCGUGUAGGGGGAGUGACCAGGUAAAUCCGGUUGCUUAUCAACCCUGAGGCGUGAUGACGAUGCACCACGGUGCAGAAGCAGUUGAUGCCAUGCUUCCAGGAAAAGCCUCUAAGCAUCAGGUAACAUUAAAUCGUACCCCAAACCGACACAGGUGGUCAGGUAGAGAAUACUCAGGCGCUUGAGAGAACUCGGGUGAAGGAACUAGGCAAAAUGGUGCCGUAACUUCGGGAGAAGGCACGCUGGCGUUAGGUGAAAGGACUAGCUCCUGGAGCUGAAGCCAGUCGCAGAUACCAGCUGGCUGCAACUGUUUAAUAAAAACACAGCACUGUGCAAACACGAAAGUGGACGUAUACGGUGUGACGCCUGCCCGGUGCUGGAAGGUUAAUUGAUGGGGUCAGCCGCAAGGCGAAGCUCUUGAUCGAAGCCCCAGUAAACGGCGGCCGUAACUAUAACGGUCCUAAGGUAGCGAAAUUCCUUGUCGGGUAAGUUCCGACCUGCACGAAUGGCGUAAUGAUGGCCAGGCUGUCUCCACCCGAGACUCAGUGAAAUUGAACUCGCUGUGAAGAUGCAGUGUACCCGCGGCAAGACGGAAAGACCCCGUGAACCUUUACUAUAGCUUGACACUGAACAUUGAGCCUUGAUGUGUAGGAUAGGUGGGAGGCCUUGAAGUGUGGACGCCAGUCUGCAUGGAGCCAACCUUGAAAUACCACCCUUUAAUGUUUGAUGUUCUAACUCGGCCCCAUGAUCUGGGGUGAGGACAGUGUCUGGUGGGUAGUUUGACUGGGGCGGUCUCCUCCCAAAGAGUAACGGAGGAGCACGAAGGUUAGCUAAUCACGGUCGGACAUCGUGAGGUUAGUGCAAAGGCAUAAGCUAGCUUGACUGCGAGAGUGACGGCUCGAGCAGGUACGAAAGUAGGUCUUAGUGAUCCGGUGGUUCUGAAUGGAAGGGCCAUCGCUCAACGGAUAAAAGGUACUCCGGGGAUAACAGGCUGAUACCGCCCAAGAGUUCAUAUCGACGGCGGUGUUUGGCACCUCGAUGUCGGCUCAUCACAUCCUGGGGCUGAAGUAGGUCCCAAGGGUAUGGCUGUUCGCCAUUUAAAGUGGUACGCGAGCUGGGUUUAGAACGUCGUGAGACAGUUCGGUCCCUAUCUGCCGUGGGCGUUGGAAGAUUGAGAGGGGCUGCUCCUAGUACGAGAGGACCGGAGUGGACGAAUCACUGGUGUUCGGGUUGUCAUGCCAAUGGCAUUGCCCGGUAGCUAAAUUCGGAAGAGAUAACCGCUGAAAGCAUCUAAGCGGGAAACUUGCCUCGAGAUGAGUCUUCCCUGGGGCUUAAAGCCCCCUGAAGGAACGUUAAAGACUAUGACGUUGA
rnacentral:rRNA from 1 species